rnacentral:sRNA from 1 species
UGGAGUCAACAUGGCUGAACCUGCGGA